rnacentral:rRNA from 1 species
AUUUGAUCAAGCUACUAAGGGCGUACGGUGGAUGCCUAGGCACAAGAAGACGAUGAAGGACGUGGUAAGCUGCGAUAAGCCUCGGAGAGAUGCAAACUAUCUUUGAUCCGGGGAUUUCCGAAUGGGGAAACCCAGUACAGGUCAUGCUGUACUACUCCCUCCCGAAUAUAUACGGAGGGUAGAGUCAACGGAGGGAAUUGAAACAUCUUAGUACCUUCAGGAAAAGAAAUCAAAAUGAGAUUUCCGGAGUAGCGGCGAGCGAAACGGAAACAGUCUAAACUUGAACUGUGUCAAACCUGCAAGUGUUGCAGUUCAGGGGUUGUGGGAUAAUUCUAGAUGGGUUUGCAGACCCGUCGGGAAGUCAAAAAUCCAAUUGUUAAUUGAAGGACCUGGAAAGGUCUGCCAUAGAGGGUGAUAGCCCCGUAAAUGAAAACAUUUGGACUUCCUGGGAAUUAUUCCCGAGUAGGGCGGAACACGAGAAAUUCCGUUUGAAUCUGGGUAGACCACUAUCCAAGACUAAAUACUCUCUUGUGACCGACAGUGAACUAGUACCGUGAGGGAAAGGUGAAAAGUACCUCUGACGAGGAGUGAAAUAGAGCCUGAAACCGUAUGUCUACAAGCGGUCGAACCGGAAUUUAGUUCCGGAACGGCGUGCCUUUUGCAUAAUGAGCCUGGGAGUUACUCCUAUGUUGCAAGGUUAAGGAAGAUAUCCGGAGCCGUAGCGAAAGCGAGUCUUAAUAGGGCGAAUAGUAACAUGGGGUAGACCCGAAGCUGAGUGAGCUUACCAUGGUCAGGAUGAAGCUGUAGUAAAAUACAGUGGAGGUCCGAACCAGGAUGGGUUGAAAACCGUUUGGAUGAACUGUGGUAAGGGGUGAAAGGCCAAUCAAACUCAGCGAUAUCUGGUUCUCUUCGAAAUAGCUUUAGGGCUAGCGUCGGUACCGAGUGUUACGGGGGUAGAGCACUGAAUGGGCUAGGGGUCCCACAAGAUUACCAAACCCAAUCAAACUCCGAAUACCGUAACAUGCUUACCGGCAGUCAGGCAGUGGGGGAUAAGCUUCAUUGCCGAAAGGGAAACAGCCCAGACCAACAGCUAAGGUCCCUAAAUCUGUGCUAAGUGAUAAAGGAUGUGAAAUUGCUAAAACAGCUAGGAGGUUGGCUUAGAAGCAGCCACCCUUGAAAGAGUGCGUAACAGCUCACUAGUCGAGGAAUUUUGCGCCGAUAAUCGUCGGGACUAUAAGCACAGUACCGAAGCUUUGGAUUUUGAAUUUAUUCAAAGUGGUAGAAGAGCGUUCUGUUAACCGUUGAAGGCAUACCGGAAGGAUUGCUGGAGGACACAGAAAUGAUUAUCCAGGCACGAGUAGCGAUAAACCAGGUGAGAUUCCUGGUCACCGAAAGCCUAAGGUUUCCUGAGUAAAGCAACUCUGCUCAGGGUUAGUCGGACCCUAAGGCGAGGCCGAAAGGCGUAGUCGAUGGGAAACGGGUUUAAUAUUCCCGUACCACUUAUAUAGCGUUUGAGCUAUGGGGAACACAGAAGUGAAAGUUCAGCCAGCGAUUGAAAGUGCUGGUUUAAGGUCGUAGGGCGAUCCGGUAGGCAAAUCCGCUGGAUCAUUAAACCUGAGAGCCGAAUAGGAGGGCCUAGCCCAUAAACUGAACCUAAUCCCGCUGUCAAGAAAACCCUCUAUGUGAGUUAUAUAGGUGUCCGUACCGCAAACCAACACAGGUAGGCGAGAUGAGUAUUCUAAGGUGCGCGAGAGAACUCUGGUUAAGGAACUCGGCAAAUUAACUCCGUAACUUCGGGAGAAGGAGUGCCUGCCGAUGAUAUCUCUUUACGAGAAAAGAUAGGUAGGCCGCAGUGAAAUGGCCCAAGCGACUGUUUACCAAAAACACAGGUCUCUGCUAAGUCGUAAGACGAAAUAUAGGGACUGACACCUGCCCGGUGCUGGAAGGUUAAUAGGAGCGCUUAGACUUCGGUCGAAGGUGUGAAUUGAAGCCCCAGUAAACGGCGGCCGUAACUAUAACGGUCCUAAGGUAGCGAAAUUCCUUGUCGGGUAAGUUCCGACCUGCACGAAUGGUGUAACGAUUUGGGCACUGUCUCGACCAGAGACUCGGCGAAAAUGAAGUGUCGGUGAAGAUGCCGGCUACCCGCGGCAGGACGGAAAGACCCCGUGAACCUUUACUACAGCUUGACAUUGGGUUUUGGUUUUUAUUGUAGAGAAUAGAUGGGAGGCUUUGAAGCAGCGACGCCAGUUGUUGUGGAGCCGUCUUUGGAAUACCAUCCUAUAAUUUCUGAAAUUCUAACCAGGUACCUUGAAUCAGGUACUGGGACAUUGUCUGGUGGGUAGUUUGACUGGGGCGGUCUCCUCCUAAACAGUAACGGAGGAGCGCAAUGGUUCCCUCAGCACGGUCGGUAAUCGUGCGUAGAGUGUAAACGCAUAAGGGAGCUUGACUGCGAGACAUACAGGUCGAGCAGGUGCGAAAGCAGGUGUUAGUGAUCCGGUGGUUCCGAGUGGAAGGGCCAUCGCUCAACGGAUAAAAGGUACUCCGGGGAUAACAGGCUUAUCUCCCCCAAGAGCUCAUAUCGACGGGGAGGUUUGGCACCUCGAUGUCGGCUCGUCGCAUCCUGGGGCUGGAGAAGGUCCCAAGGGUUGGGCUGUUCGCCCAUUAAAGCGGCACGCGAGCUGGGUUCAGAACGUCGUGAGACAGUUCGGUCCCUAUCCGCCGUGGGCGCAGGAGAUUUGAGAGAACUUAUUCCUAGUACGAGAGGACCGGAAUGAGGGAUCCUCUGGUGCACCAGUUGUCGUGUCAACGGCAUCGCUGGGUAGCUAUGAUCCUAAGAGAUAAGCGCUGAAAGCAUCUAAGCGCGAAACUCGACUCAAGAUAAGAUCUCCCUUCCGGUUUAUCCGGACUGAAGGAAACUUAAAGACUAUGAGUUUGAUAGGUCACAGGUGUAAGCAUGGUAACAUGUUCAGCCGAGUGAUACUAAUUUUCCGUGAGGCUUGAUCAAUAUU